GGCGGGUGCUCACUAGCCGAACUGACGAACGGAGUUGUGAUCACACCUGCCUGUGUACGGAACUAAAACAGUCAAAGAAAAUGAUUGAAAGAGAAAAAUAGGUGAAAUUAAAGAUUCAGCGAACGAAUAUUAUUAUGAACAGUCAACGAAUAUUACUAUGAAAAUGGGAAGUGCGCGGAGAUUGUUCAGAGUUCGUGAUAGUAAGCCCACAUAGUAAAGUUGUAUGAGACGAGAAUUCCUUGUCCUGUGGAGAGCCCAUAGAACACUAGCGUGUUUUCGUGUUACGUUAAGUUUGACUCAAAAAUGGCUAAGGGUUGCUUUUGUACUUCUAUCUACAUCAUGACGACCAAUUCAUGUUUGCUCCAUUAUUAAACUUCCCAUAAGGCUAUUUGUCAACGAAUUUUUCUUUUAAAUGAUUGAUCGACAUUUUCAAAAAUUUGUAAUGAAUAUGACCUUAAUGAGAUUAUUGUUAUUCUGUAUAAUUACCAAACUCGCCACUUUUUUUAAAGGCUCACUGUUGGUAGUAGUAGCACAAUUCUCAUACAGCUUAGAGGUUUCUACUGAAACCUAAGAUUGUUAUUAUAAUAUUUGCAGCUAUUUGCCUCACUCGCCUAGCGUGAAAUGUCUUCGACAUCAAAAUCACCGUGUCGUUGUCCGUGGCUAUAAUUUGUGUCUCACAGUGUUGGCCACAUUGUUUCUCUCACGUCAUAUUUGUGAACGAUCUGACUUCUCUAACGAAACAAGCCUGGGCGUGGUCAGUACCACACAUCGUCUACUUGUUUUGUAAGUCUGUCUCUCCUGAUUUCAGCAUUGUAACUUCUGUUUGUUUAAAAUAUCAACACGCAAUUCCUUGGCUCGUCGUUUGUCCCUUUCCUUCUUUGUUUCCAAAUAACUAUCACUGUUGUGUAAGCUGGGAUCAGUAAAUACCGCGAGGACAGUGUCGGGCUGUUUGUGGAAUCAGCUACAUGUACCAGAGUAAAUACGUUUUGAUGAUCCGCCAAAUGUUUGCAAAUGAAGGAACAUGUGAUUACUUCAAAUCUUUACUGGAAUGAGUGAUUUAUUAGAGUGAAAGUCAUUUACAUUUGUUUCCAAAUGCAUACUAAUUUGAUUGUGUCAGGUGUAGAAACGAUGAUUGAAAAAAGAAUGUGUGGACUUUAUAAGUGUUAGUGUGUACUGUGUGUGAGGAAAAGAAA